UACGUAGGGGGCAAGCGUUGUCCGGAUUUACUGGGCGUAAAGAGCGUGUAGGCGGCCAGACAGGUCAGCUGUGAAAACUCGAGGCUCAACCUCGAGACGUCGGUUGAAACCGUUUGGCUAGAGUCCGGAAGAGGAGAGUGGAAUUCCCGGUGUAGCGGUGAAAUGCGCAGAUAUCAGGAAGAACACCCGUGGCUAAGGCGGCUCUCUAGUACGGUACUGACGCUGAGACGCGAAAGCGUGGGGAGCAAACAGG
rnacentral:rRNA from 1 species